GAUGAACGCUAGCGGCAGGCUUAAUACAUGCAAGUCGAGGGGCAGCACAGGUAGCAAUACUGGGUGGCGACCGGCAAACGGGUGCGGAACACGUACACAACUUACCUUAGAGUGGGGGAUAGCCCAGGGAAACUUGGAUUAAUACCCCAUAAAACAGGGGGCCCGCAUGGGCAUCUUGUUAAAGAUUUAUCGCUUUAAGAUGGGUGUGCGUAUGCUUAGGUAGUUGGUAGGAGAAAGGCCUACCAAGCCGACGAUCAUUAACUGGUGUGAGAGCACGACCAGUCACACGGGCACUGAGACACGGGCCAGACUCCUACGGGAGGCAGCAGUAAGGAAUAUUGGUCAAUGGACGGAAGUCUGAACCAGCCAUGCCGCGUGAAGGAUGAAGGUCCUCUGGAUUGUAGACUUCUUUUAUAGGGGGCGAAAAAGGGCCUUUUUAGGUCAACUGACGGUACCCUAUGAAUAAGCACCGGCUAACUCCGUGCCAGCAGCCGCGGUAA
rnacentral:rRNA from 1 species